rnacentral:rRNA from 1 species
AUGUUUGUAGAAGGAGAUGCGGCCCCUAGUGAAGGAGAUGUAUCCUCAACUUGUAUAGAUGCGUUUUUUUUUGCAGAGACCAAAAUGGCUGGAGAAGGAUAUGUGGCUGACAAUGAAACAGAGGGUUCUGCAAAUCCGAUCUCACGACGGAACUCAAAAAGGGCUGCUAAGCGGCAGCCGCAUGGAGAUGAUAAGGAUGGGAAUGGAGAGGGUGACGAUGGCGGCGAAAGAUUUCUCUUAGUAAAACUGCAGAGAAGAAAGGUGCAUGCGGAGGCAGUAUCCAAAGGGGUAGAUGCCAGAUCUUCUGCAGCAGCCGCUGAGUAA